rnacentral:rRNA from 1 species
GACGAACGCUGGCGGCGUGCUUAACACAUGCAAGUCGAACGGAAAGGCCCUGCUUUUGUGGGGUGCUCGAGUGGCGAACGGGUGAGUAACACGUGAGUAACCUGCCCUUGACUUUGGGAUAACUUCAGGAAACUGGGGCUAAUACCGGAUAGGAGCUCCUGCUGCAUGGUGGGGGUUGGAACGUUUCGGCGGUUGGGGAUGGACUCGCGGCUUAUCAGCUUGUUGGUGGGGUAGUGGCUUACCAAGGCUUUGACGGGUAUCCGGCCUGAGAGGGUAACCGGCCGCGUUGGAAGUGAGGACGGGCCCGACUCCCAAGGGGGGGGAGGGGGGGGGAAUAUAGCCAAGUGGGCGAAAGCUGAGUACAGCACCGCCGCGGGGGGGAGGGCGGCCUGCGGGUUGAAAACCGGUUCGGCCGGGAGCGAAGCGGAGAUGAGGGCAAUGGGCAAAGAAGCACCGGAUAAUUCAGG